rnacentral:rRNA from 1 species
UACGGGGGGGGGCAAGCGUUGUUCGGAAUUACUGGGCGUAAAGGGCUCGUAGGCGGCCAACUAAGUCAGACGUGAAAUCCCUCGGCUUAACCGGGGAACUGCGUCUGAUACUGGAUGGCUUGAAUCCGGGAGAGGGAUGCGGAAUUCCAGGUGUAGCGGUGAAAUGCGUAGAUAUCUGGAGGAACACCGGUGGCGAAGGCGGCAUCCUGGACCGGUAUUGACGCUGAGUGAGCGAAAGCCAGGGGAGCAAACGGG